UACGUAGGUGGCAAGCGUUGUCCGGAAUUAUUGGGCGUAAAGCGCGCGCAGGCGGUCCUUUAAGUCUGAUGUGAAAGCACACGGCUCAACCGUGGAGGGUCAUUGGAAACUGGGGGACUUGAGUGCAGAAGAGGAGAGCGGAAUUCCACGGUGUAGCGGUGAAAUGCGUAGAGAUGUGGAGGAACACCAGUGGCGAAGGCGGGCGAUCUC
rnacentral:rRNA from 1 species